rnacentral:lncRNA from 1 species
GGCCAGUGGGAUUGGAGUCAUUAUUUUGCAUAGUGGAGGUGUUGAAGGAGGCUGAGGGUGGAUUUCUUUGAGACCGCCUGCUUGGCCCUUUAAGGAGGAGAAGACCCUCAGAAGGAAAAAUGAAAAGACAUGAAAGUGGGCUGGAUCCACAGGAGGAAACUGCACAAACACAACAUGGCGCAUUUGAGUAGCUGCAUCCCCAGAAAGACCUGGUGAACACAGUGACAUACAUCAUGGAACUGGAAUUUCUUUCACUCUGGAGGAGUUAGGAUGUCUCUUUGCCACUUUACCAGGAUGCACAGAGGCAGGGCUGGGAAAGCUCUGGCUCUGCUGCUUUCAAAACUCCAAAGCCACAGGAGGAAAGAGGCAGACAUCUGAGCCAGCGUCUUGUCUGGAAAUAAUUAUGCUGCGCCAACGAAACUGGAAAUCUGCAGUGCACAGAAGCACAGCCCCAUCCGCGCAGGCCCAGAUAAAGGAACCAAGCAAGCUCCUUAUGCCGUGGACUGACUUCUCCAUUUCCCCAGAAUGUAAGAACCACCUCUUCACCCAAAGCCCACACCUUCAGUUAGAAGCCAGUCGUGUUAUUACUCUAUUAAGAAACAACAGGUUCGCGAGUAGAGAAGUUUCCAAGAAAAACUGC